GAUGAACGCUGGCGGCGUGCCUAAUACAUGCAAGUCGAGCGAACGGACGAGAAGCUUGCUUUUCUGAUGUUAGCGGCGGACGGGUGAGUAACACGUGGAUAACCUACCUAUAAGACUGGGAUAACUUCGGGAAACCGGAGCUAAUACCGGAUAAUAUUUUGAACCGCAUGGUUCAAGAGUGAAAGACGGUCUUGCUGUCACUUAUAGAUGGAUCCGCGCUGCAUUAGCUAGUUGGUAAGGUAACGGCUUACCAAGGCAACGAUGCAUAGCCGACCUGAGGGGGUGAUCGGCCACACUGGAACUGAGACACGGUCCAGACUCCUACGGGAGGCAGCAGUAGGGAAUCUUCCGCAAUGGGCGAAAGCCUGACGGAGCAACGCCGCGUGAGUGAUGAAGGUCUUCGGAUCGUAAAACUCUGUUAUUAGGGAAGAACAUAUGUGUAAGUAACUGUGCACAUCUUGACGGUACCUAAUCAGAAAGCCACGGCUAACUACGUG
rnacentral:rRNA from 1 species